UGUGAUGCAUGAAAAAGAGAAGAAGUAGUAAAGUUGUGUGAUGUAAAGAAGGGUGUGAAGCUGUCGGGUUUUGGACUGUUCAACCAAAGAUUUUUUAAAAGCAGCAAUGUCACUGAAGGUAUGUUUGAGACAAUAUUUGGUUAAAAAAAAAAUGUCUUCUUUAUCAAAACAUUUACAUUUUAUGUUCUUUCCAUAUACAAGUAAAUACUGUAUUUAUUUUAUUCCUAAAAAGUUUGCAUCUUUGCUUUCUUCGCAAACCGUAUUCAAGUACGUUUUUGCAUGCUGGCGAGUUUAAUCAUUGUAAAUAUCACAGAGUAGGGCGUGGGUAACUUGGAUGACUUGGGGCCUAAAAAUGUUGUUGGAAUUUUUUUAGAGCUUACUGUAGAGAAAGAAAAUAAAGAAAAAAGCACAGUUGUUCUCUUCAGAACAACAGAAAACAUCUGACUUCAGAACAACAGCACACAUCUGCUUCCACUGUUCUCUUCAGAACAACAGAAAACAUCUGACUUCAGAACAUCUGUAUUGGUCUCCUCUGACUUCCACUGUUCUCUUCAGAACAACAGAAAACAUCUUGACUUCCACUGUUCUCUUCAGAACAACAGCACCAUCUGACAUCCACUGUUCUCUUCAGAAACACAGCACACAUCUGACUUCACUGUUCUCUUCAGAACAACAGAAAACAUCUGACUUCAGAACAUCUGUAUUGGUCUCCUCUGACUUCCACUGUUCUCUUCAGAACAACAGCACACAUCUGACUUCCACUGUUCUCUUCAGAACAUCUGUAUUGGUCUCCUCCAACUUCCACUGUUCUCUUCAGAACAACAGAACACAUCUGUAUUGGUCUCCUCUGACUUCCACCGUUCUUUUCCCCUCUUCUUUUGAAUGGUUGAAGGAUGGAGGAUAGAUAGAAGCUUGUCCAGUUUGGUCCAACUAUUCACCUACACAGGGAUAUUAGAAUCCUGUAAUGACGCUGGGAGCUGGCGUCUGCUGUUACCCUUCUAGACCAGCCUGCAAUGCACCCCUCUAUGGAUACAUUUGGUUUUGGCUGAUUGGUUCCCCUUUGUGUGUCUACCAUUGCCUAUCAUAAGUGCCACUCCUCUCCGCUGUGCAUGUAUAAGCAUCAUGGAAGGUCAGAGUUCACUGCUGAUUUUUGAAGAGCGGACGGGCAUCGAGAGUCCAGGUUGCUACGACUAAAGCAGCUCUCUCUUCUCCUUCGGAACAUUAAAAUUAUUCUACCCCUGCAACCGUCCCAGUAAAGAUUGAGAGAGUCCACUAUCUUUACAGAUCAGCCUAUGAAACGUGUAACACCCACAUCAUACCCACAAGUAAGCUAUAUACAUAUACAUAUAUAGAUAUAUAUAUAUAUAUAUAAAACAUGUUUAUUUUUUUGCUCUGUCACUCUUAUAUAAUAAAUUGACAUAUAUAGUCCAACCAUAAAGAUUACUGAGUGUCGAAAAAAUAUUAUUCUGUACUUUGGCUAAGAUUUAUAAAUCAUGAGACUGAACUACAUCAAAAUAAAUGGUGUGAAGUGUAUGUAUCUUAAAGCUUUGCUUUAAAACAAUUCACUGCAUUACUUUGUUUAUGUUAUGAGUCUUUGUAUAAAGCAUCCUUUGGUAUGGGGGAGAAAGAGCGUCUAGCAAAGUUCUUUGUUGCAGAAUUGUGCCAACAUUUUAAAAAAACAUGUCAAAAUAAACCUGCCUAAAAUGGAAUGGCCAGAGUGAAGCACUUACACUUCAUAUGAAAUAUCAAUGCACCUAUGUGUAGCUGUGUGUUCACCGCAUGUUUGGAGGCCAGAUAUUCUUUCCGUGACUACUUCCUCUAUCUAACAUCGCAGGUUUAGUGAAGCACCACCGAAUUAAAAUCUUAAGCAAUUAGUCAUGUUGUUAUGUAGGGCCUACUGCCCUCAUGUGGUGAACCAACGUUUGACCACCCAUUGUGUUUUUACUCCGGCGUUUUAACUGUGAUUUCAAUAAUGACCUUCAAUGGACCAGCGAAACUCAAAUGGCU
rnacentral:lncRNA from 1 species